AUUGAACGCUGGCGGCAGGCCUAACACAUGCAAGUAGAACGAGUGGCGGACGGGUGAGGAAUGUCUGGGAAACUGCCCGAUGGAGGGGGAUAACUACUGGAAAAGGUAGCUAAUACCGCGUACAAUGGGAUGGGACCAGAUGGGAUGAGCUUGUAGGGGGGGUAAGGGCUCACCUAGGCGACGAACCCGAGCUGGUCUGAGAGGAGGAACAGCCACACUGGAACUGAGACACGGUCCAGACUCCUACGGGAGGCAGCAGUGGGGAAUAUUGCACAAUGGGCGCAAGCCUUAUGCAGCCAUGCCGCGUGUAUGAAGAAGGCCUUCGGGUUGUAAAGUACUUUCAGCGGGGAGGCGUUACCCGCAGAAGAAGCACCGGCUAACUCCGUGUCAGCAGCCGCGGUAAUUC
rnacentral:rRNA from 1 species